AGUGACCAGAUUAUUUUUAAAAUGAUGAAAAUGAGCUUUUAAUCCUGGCUACAGUGGAUGCUAGAUUUUGAAAAGGAUUAGCAAGUUAGCCAUUAGUUAAUUAAUAGUUAAUAUCAAGAAACACAGAUAAAGUCACACACCUGGAGGCACACAGAGGUUGUUUAUGAGAAGAGCAGUUAAAAAAGAAAAAACUAAGCUAAGUUUGUGGACUUUGAAAACUAGACAGGGCGAUUUUGGCAUUUGUUUCAGAAAUGGGAACGCAUCUGGUGAAGAUUUCUGUGGUCCUUGGGGCUGGUGGUGACAUCAAAGCUUUCCCAUUUCCAGGGACUUCUGACAUGAACAAACUGGAGAAGGUGCAGAGCUGGAAUGGAUUACCCAACUGGCUUAACCAAGAUAAAGGAAGAAUGCACCCUGGACUGGGGACUCAAUUGGACUGAUUUGAGUUCUUGACUAUUGAUUGGGCUUGGUCUCCUUCGUGGUGGUUGAGGUUAUAGAAUCUCCUCAAUCUGAUUACUGUACGAAUUUCUGCAUUCUACCAAAUGUAGCAUAUAUGUGUGGUUGGUUUCAAUAAAUCUUUCAUUUAAAAAUGAAAA